rnacentral:rRNA from 1 species
ACUUUAUUUAAUUUAAUUUAAUUUUUUGUUAGUUAAUAUUAAAAAUUUAUUUUAAAUUAAAUUUUAUUGGGGUGAUAGGAAAAUUGUUAUAACUUUUCUUUAUUAAAAUUCACAAAUUAGUGAUUAAUUGAUCCAAAAGUUUUGAUUAAAAGUUUAAGU